UAACACGUGGGUAACCUGCCUGUAAGACUGGGAUAACUCCGGGAAACCGGGGCUAAUACCGGAUGGUUGUUUGAACCGCAUGGUUCAAACAUAAAAGGUGGCUUCGGCUACCACUUACAGAUGGACCCGCGGCGCAUUAGCUAGUUGGUGAGGUAACGGCUCACCAAGGCGACGAUGCGUAGCCGACCUGAGAGGGUGAUCGGCCACACUGGGACUGAGACACGGCCCAGACUCCUACGGGAGGCAGCAGUAGGGAAUCUUCCGCAAUGGACGAAAGUCUGACGGAGCAACGCCGCGUGAGUGAUGAAGGUUUUCGGAUCGUAAAGCUCUGUUGUUAGGGAAGAACAAGUACCGUUCGAAUAGGGCGGUACCUUGACGGUACCUAACCAGAAAGCCACGGCUAACUACGUGCCAGCAGCCGCGGUAAUACGUAGGUGGCAAGCGUUGUCCGGAAUUAUUGGGGCGUAAAGGGCUCGCAGGCGGUUUCUUAAGUCUGAUGUGAAAGCCCUCGGCUCAACCGGGGAGGGUCAUUG
rnacentral:rRNA from 1 species